rnacentral:rRNA from 1 species
AAUGGGGGGAACCUGAUGCAGCACGCCGCGUGAAGGAUGAAGGUCUUCGGAUUGUAAACUUCUUUAGUCGGGGACGAAUAAAUGACUGUACCCAGAAGAAUAACCCACGGCUAACUACUGUGCCAGCAGCCGCGGUAAUACGUAGGUGGCGAGCGUUGUCCGGAAUUACUGGGUGUAAAGGGCGUGUAGGCGGGAAUGUAAGUCAGAUGUGAAAUCCCAGGGCUUAACCCUGGAGCUGCAUCUGAAACUAUGUUUCUUGAGUGUCAGAGAGGAAAGCGGAAUUCCUAGUGUAGCGGAGAAAUGCAUAGAUAUGAAGAAGAACACCAGUGGAAAACGCGGCUUUGUGGACGAUAACAGACGCUGAGGCGCGAAAGCGUGGGGAGCAAACAGGAUUAGAUACCCUGGUAGUCCACGCUGUAAACGAUGGAUACUAUGUGUAGGAGGUAUCGACCCCUUCUGUGCCGGAGUUAACACAAUAAGUAUCCCACCUGGGGAGUACGGCCGCAGGGUUGAAACUCAAA